CUGCAGCUCAAGUGGUGAUCGUUAUUAUUGGGCCUAAACGUUCGUAGCCUGUUUAGUAAAUGCCUGGGUAAAUCGGACCGCUUAACGGUUCGAAUUCCGGGUAGACUGCUAAACUUGAGACCGGGAGAGGCUAGAGGUACUCCUGGGGUAGAGGUGAAAUUCUGUAAUCCUAGGGGGACCACCAGUGGCGAAGGCGUCUAGCUAGAACGGGUCUGACGGUGAGGGACGAAGCCCUGGGGCGCAAACCGGAUUAGAGACCCGAGUAGUCC
rnacentral:rRNA from 1 species